AAAUAAUCUUCCGAUUCUAAUAAUUUUUGGUCCAUUUCAUGCACUCUAUCCAAUCAAAAUGGGAAUUGCUUUGAAAGAUUCAGGUUUGAAGCCCCAUGGCAACCAAAAACAAAAAAAAAAUAAAAACCCUUAAAUUCGCAUGGUUGCCUUGAUGGCUCUUUCCAUUUUGAGUACCUAAAUCAAGAAGGCAUAACAGCAGUGUUUUCUGCUACAUAAACAAAUAAACUUUCAAGGGAAAAAAAUAAAGAAAGAUAUAUAUAUAU
rnacentral:misc_RNA from 1 species